AACGAACGCUGGCGGCAUGCCUAACACAUGCAAGUCGAACGAUGCCUUCGGGCAUAGUGGCGCACGGGUGCGUAACGCGUGGGAACCUGCCCUUGGCUUCGGAAUAACAGUUAGAAAUGACUGCUAAUACCGGAUGAUGUCUUCGGACCAAAGAUUUAUCGGCCAGGGAUGAGCCCGCGUAGGAUUAGGUAGUUGGUGGGGUAAAGGCCUACCAAGCCGACGAUCCUUAGCUGGUCUGAGAGGAUGAUCAGCCACACUGGGACUGAGACACGGCCCAGACUCCUACGGGAGGCAGCAGUGGGGAAUAUUGGACAAUGGGGGGAACCCUGAUCCAGCAGUGCCGCGUGAGUGAUGAAGGCCUUAGGGUUGUAAAGCUCUUUUACCCGGGAUGAUAAUGACAGUACCGGGAGAAUAAGCCCCGGCUAACUCCGUGCCAGCCGCCGCGGUAACAC
rnacentral:rRNA from 1 species